CAUCACGACCCUUUCACGUGGAACCCCUUAGAGUUGUAAGCCCUUAAAAGGGCCAGGAACUCUGUCUUCGGGGAGCUCUGCUCUUAAGACGCGUGUCUGCCGACGUUCCUGGCCGAAUAAAAAACCUCUUCCUUCUUUAAUCCGGUGUCCGAGGAGUUUUGUGUGCGACUCGUCCUGCUACAUUUCUUGGUUACAAAAACCUCUUCCUUCUUUAAUCCGGUGUCCGAGGAGUUUUGUCUGCGACUCGUCCUGCUACAUUUCUUGGUUACAAAAACCUCUUCCUUCUUUAAUCCGGUGUCUGAGGAGUUUUGUUUGCGACUCGUCCUGCUACAUUUCUUGGUUCCGUGACCGGGAAGCGAGGUGAUUGAAGGACGGUCGAGGCAGCCCCUUAGGCUGCUUAGGCCUGCCCUGUGGAGCGUCCCUGCAAGGGACUCUGGCCAGCUUGAGCGACGGGCAUCCUGAGAGCGCUCCCGGGUAGGCAAUUGCCCUGGUGGAACACCUCGUCAGAGCAGUGUGUGGCAGGCCCCCGCGGAGGAUCAACGUGGUGGCUGAACACCGGGAAGGAACUGGCACUAGAAGUCUGGACGUCUGAAACUUGCCAACAAAAAUAACAGCAAUGGGGCUUAAACAGAGCAUACGCCCACAAGGACAAAGAAAAUGAUGGAGGAGACAAGAACAACACAGUCCUGGAAGCUGGAGGGAGGAGGACACAUUCAGCUGACUUUGCAGAUCCAAAAAUGCAGACUUCUUCUCAGCUGGUAGAGUGGGAGGUGAAAAGCAAACUUAUUACACUGCAGAACACCCCAAAUACUCAGGAAUUGAUGGUUCCAGGAAUUGCAGCAAAGGUGGGGCUAUAAAAACUCAGCUGGGAGUCUGCUUAGGAAGCAUUUGUCUUCCGUUUUCUCCUUCAUCCUGCACAGCUGAGGCCCUGCCCAUCAUCCACACUGACAUGAGUUGAGAGGUUUCUAGUCUCUGGAGAGGUUGAAGCAGAGUUUCUCUGGAAUGGGGAGACUGUAGAAUUAGCUGAUGGCAAAGAUACCAUAACAGGGUGAUCAAAUGGACAUUUACAUAUUUAAUGAUAAGACCUACAAGCCCUCUUAGUUUACCAAAAUACU
ensembl:lncRNA PPP1R3B-DT PPP1R3B divergent transcript